rfam:Oryza rufipogon genomic scaffold, chr03
UUUAAAUACAAUCAUGAGUUUUCACGCCCAACUUUAAUCAUCUGUUUUAUUUGAACUUUUUAUAAAUAAUAUUUUUAUUGUUAUGAGAUUAUAAAAUUUAAAUAAGACGGAUGAUUAAAGUUAGACACGAAAACUCAUGGCUACACUUGCA